UGCACUAUCCGAGUCGGCGUGGACAGGGAGCAUUUGCCUCUUUGGUGAUCAGGGGGCAACGGCAGCUGCCCCUCCAAAAGCAGGCGGCAAAAAGUUACCAUUUCGGUGAUAGGGGAUCGGAGCGGAUCGGUGCUGUAGGACGGAGGUCAUCGCCGUGGCAACAUGUAUGAAAGAACAUAUGCUCCCUUGGUGGUUUUGAUAAUUCAUGACAACAUACAUUGUCUCUUGGACUAACACUUUUACCUAGUAUAUUUCAGGUGUAGUCCACAUCGAGCUUCGGCUAUAGGAUUGUGUGGAGAUGGCCCUUUGAUUAAGGAAGGAUAUGAUUGGCUCAAGCUUCAAGCAAGAAGACUCUACAUUUUACAUUUGUGAAAAAUCACUUUGAGUCCAUAGGAAAGCCAAUAUAUUUAAAGGGGAUGAGGUGUUAAGAUGAAUUUGUUGGAAUUAUGCCCUAGAGGCAAUAAUAAAUAUAGUUAUUAUUAUAAUUCCUGUAUCAAGAUAAUCGUUUAUUAUCCAUGCUAUAAUUGUAUUGAAUGAAGACUCAUUUACAUGUGUGGAUACAUAGACAAAACACUGUCCCUAGCAAGCCUCUAGUUGGCUAGCUAGUUGACCAAAGAUAGUCAGUGUCUUCU
rnacentral:lncRNA from 1 species